ACUCUACGCCUUCUUCCUCUCACGCGUUUGAGUCGCCAAUAAGGUAUUUCUCAGGUGUCAAGUAUGAAAGAGAUGCCGCCGCCUCAUCUUUGCUGGACUUGAACUGACACUUGCACGUGGUUCGGUAACUGAUGGCCGCAUCGUCACUUUGCGGGGCUACUGGUACAUCCUGACUCCUGGCAGCAUGUGUUGUCCAGUGCACAUUGUCGCUGUAUGAAGAAGUUUUAGAUGGAAGAAUGGACAGACAGUUGCUGAACUCAACAUCAUUUGGGAAAGUCUGGAGUUUCACAGUGCAGGGCAACAUCAUGGACAACAGAAUCCUCAAUAUGGAUUGCUGUUGUGGGCUGCUUGCGUAUGUUGUGGUAAAGAGUGUGAGUGUAACGUUCAUCCGUCUCCAUGUUUUUGUGAAAUGUGUAGAUGCUGUGUUUGUUUUAUUUGUAACCAUGUGAAAUGGACGUCUGUAUAACGCAUUAAAAUAUAAUUAAAUGCAGAACGGCAUGGUGCGGAAUAGUGUAAAGUAUGUUCCAUCGAUUUGAAAGGACAGCAAUGCGCCGACACUAGUUCAAAUAGAGGUGUAACUUUUUAUAGCAAGUAAUUGGUCAAUUUAAAAGAAAGUCAGUGUGACAAAAGUGAAUAACAAUGUAAAUUAGUCAUGAGAAAUAUUUUGUUGAAUUUAAUGUACGGCAAUGCGCCGAUAGUGGCUUAACAGGAGUAUAAAAUUUCUGAUUGAUUGAAACUUGGCUAGGAGGUAACGAACUUCUGUGGAGUAUUCUAGCAGAAAUGAUAGAUUUUACGUUAAAAAAAGACUAUCAACAACAUAAAGAUGCAGAGUAAUGCGACUUUGAAAA